CCCUUAGACACUCUAGGCGGCACGCGCGCUACAAUGGGUGGAAGAACGUGUUACUGCCUCCGAAAGGAGGGGUGAAUCACGAAUUCUUGCCCGUGAAUGGGAUAGUUUGUUGCAAUUUUCGGAUUUGAACUAGGAAUCCCUUGUAAACAUGCUCAAGAAUAGCGUGUUGAAUACGUCCCUGCCGUUUGUACACACCGCCCGUCGUUUCUUCCGACUGAUACUCAUUGUGAGUUGCAAGGACCCUUUAUUGGGAAAUUGCUGCAAAUGCUUUGUAUUGGAGGAAGAAAAAGUCGUAACA
rnacentral:rRNA from 1 species